rnacentral:rRNA from 1 species
GGAUUAGAUACCCUGGUAGUCCACGCCGUAAACGAUGUAUACUAGUUGUCGGGUCUUGAUACUCGGUGACGCAGCUAACGCAUUAAGUAUACCGCCUGGGGAGUACGGUCGCAAGAUUAAAACUCAAAGAAAUUGACGGGGACCCGCACAAGCGGUGGAGCAUGUGGUUUAAUUCGAAGCAACGCGAAGAACCUUACCCACCUUUGACAUACUAGUUUGGGAUAGUGGAGACACUUUCUUUCAGUUCGGCUGGGCUAGAUACAGGUGCUGCAUGGCUGUCGUCAGCUCGUGCCG